rnacentral:rRNA from 1 species
UGAGGAAUAUUGGUCAAUGGGCGCAAGCCUGAACCAGCCAUCCCGCGUGCAGGAAGACGGCCCUAUGGGUUGUAAACUGCUUUUCCAGGGGGAGAAUUUUUCUGUCGUGACAGGAAUUGACGGUACCCUGGGAAUAAGCAUCGGCUAACUCCGUGCCAGCAGCCGCGGUACUACGGAGGAUGCGGUCGUUAUCCGUAUUUAUUGGGUUUAAAGGGUGCGUAGGCGGCUAGAUAAGUCAGUGGUGAAAACCUGCAGCUUAACUGUAGACUUGCCGUUGAUACUGUCAGUCUUGAGUAUGGUCAAGGUAGGCGGAAUGUGUAAUGUAGCGGUGAGAUGCUUAGAUAUUACACAGAACACCGAUUUCGAAGGCAGCUUGCUGGGCCAUUACUGACGCUGAUGCACGAAAGCGUGGGGAUCGAACA